rnacentral:rRNA from 1 species
GAGCGGUAUUGUUUCUUCGGAAACGAGAGAGCGGCGCACGGGUGCGGAACACGUGUGCAACCUGCCUUUAUCUGGGGGAUAGCCUUUCGAAAGGAAGAUUAAUACCCCAUAAUAUUUUGAAUGGCAUCAUUUAAAAUUGAAAACUCCGGUGGAUAGAGAUGGGCACGCGCAAGAUUAGAUAGUUGGUAGGGUAACGGCCUACCAAGUCAGUGAUCUUUAGGGGGCCUGAGAGGGUGAUCCCCCACACUGGUACUGAGACACGGACCAGACUCUUACGGGAGGCAGCAGUGAGGAAUAUUGGACAAUGGGUGAGAGCCUGAUCCAGCCAUCCCGCGUGAAGGACGACGGCCCUAUGGGUUGUAAACUUCUUUUGUACAGGGAUAAACCUUUCCACGUGUGGAAAGCUGAAGGUACUGUACGAAUAAGCACCGGCUAACUCCGUG